UGUCCGAGGAGAGCGGCGGCGGCGCAAGGAGUCUUCCUCUCCGACGCCGGCAACGUCGACACCGCUGGCAAACUUCUCUCCGAUUGUCCCUGCUCCAGUAAGAGUAGGCGAGGACGAGCCUCCCCCAUCUUGGGUGUUGGUGCCUGACCCAUUUUCUCAAGUUUUGCUAUGGAUAUGAGCAAUAGAGAUCACCUUAGGAGGAGGGAGGAUGAUGAUGAUGACCUCUUCCUUUUGAUUCUCCCUUCCCUACAUCUCUUGGGCUAUCUUGGACGUAGUAAAAAGAAAUUGAGGCAUACAUCAACGCUGACCGGGGAGGAAAAGGUUCGAGAGCUGCUUGAAGGCCAUAUCAAGAACUGCAGGGUAUCAUUUAGAAUGGAACCUUACAUUUUCAAAUCCUUGGCGAACUAUCUUAGAAUGGAAGGAUUGGUUAAAGAUACAAGAAUCAAAGUUGAGGAAAAACUUGGCUUCUUCCUAUACAUGAUUAGCCACAAUGCGACAUUUGAAGAUCUCCAAGUCUUUUUUGGUCAUAGCAAUGAUACAUUUCACCGUGUUAUCAAACAUUUCUUCGACAUUGUUAUCCCUGGCCUUAGCAUGCGGUUCCUAAAGCCUCCUUCCAAUCAAGUUCAUCCUAAAAUUCAUGGAUUGUUGCUGAUCCACCAAUAUGGGAAAACAUCAUAAAAGGCCAAGAAAUUUCAAAAGAAGUCUUUCCCUCUCUUUGAUGCUCUUGGGGAACUAUAUGAUGGGCACAUUGCUCAAGGGACCUGGAACAUAACAUCUACACAACUACCACAAGAAUGGAACACAAUUUCAAAUGAAGAAGAACAAGUGAACACCACAAGAAUGGAUGAGGAAGGCAUUAUUCAACAACAACCACAAGAAGAGGAUUCAAGAUUGGAACAAGAUGAAGAUCCUAUAAUUGAAAGGACUGAACAGAGGUCUACUGCAAUGAGAAGGUCUACUGCAUCAACAAUCAAUCAAGAUAAGGAAGCAAAGAGGAUGAAGAAGGAUUCUUUGGAAGGACUUGUUGGGAGAUAUCUAGAUCUGAAAUCAAAACAAGUUGAGGAUGAGGUUACACAAAUGGUGAAAGGAAAAGAAUCUGCUCAAGGUAAUGACUUCUCCAUCAUGAGAUGCAUUUCUGUUCUUAGAUCUAUGAAUGUGACAGCAGAUGAGAAGAUAAAAGCAGCUGAGGUGUUCGACAUACCAAACAACAGAGAGACAUUUAUCAGUUUUAGUGUUGAUGAACCAGAAACUGCCCUCCUAUGGUUAAGACGGAAGAUUGAUAAGCUCUAAGACAGGAAAUAUUGGUCAUAUGGAGACAGUUCUGCACAGCGUUUUGAGUGCCAGUAUGAGCUAUAUAUAUGUUGCAUUUCUCCAUGUUUGGGCUCAGCAUGUAAUAGAACCGAAGGAAGGUUGUUGCGAGACUUGUAUGGCAUGCUUAAAUUUCUGG